CUGCACCCAAACGGUGUUGCUGUAAUGCCUCAACCUCGAGGCAUUCAGCAAUACCACGAUCGGCACUAGGGCCAUCUUCAAAGAUACCCGAAAUGGCACAUGGGGGGAAGAAUUACCAGAUUUGGAAAAAAUGGCUUUGAAAUAGCAAAAA